GAUGAAGAACGUAGCGAAAUGCGAUAAGUAAUGUGAAUUGCAGAAUUCAGUGAAUCAUCGAAUCUUUGAACGCACAUUGCGCCCGCUAGUAUUCUGGCGGGCAUGCCUGUCCGAGCGUCAUUUCAACCCUCAAGCCCCCGGGCUUGGAGUUGGGGAUCGGCGAGCCUCCGCGCCCGCCGUCCCCUAAAUCUAGUGGCGGUCUCGCUGUAGCUUCCUCUGCGUAGUAGCACACCUCGCACUGGGAAACAGCGCGGCCACGCCGUUAAACCCCCAACUUCUGAACGUUUGACCUCGGAUCAGGUAGGAAUACCCGCUGAACUUAAGCAUAUCAAUAAGCGGAGGA
rnacentral:misc_RNA from 1 species